UGUUUUGUCUGUAAAUUCUCCCAAGAACUUUUACAGUUUUGACGUGAAAUAAACCUUUGAAAAUCGGAGCGGUAUAUUAAUGCCACUUCUGUGGGGCCUCGGGGUAGCCUCAUGGGGAGCCUGGGUGUGAGCUAGGGUGGAACUGCGUGCGGGUGGGGCAGCUCAAUCUUGGAAGAAAAGUAGGAGAGGGCUGUCUGCCAAGGUCAAGACUUGGUGUUGGGGUGUGAAGCCCCUCCCCCCAGCACACACAGGGAUACACCUGCCCCCACCCUUCCCCACCUGGGCUUUACUACUUUGUAAAUUUUUUGGAGCUGGUUGCACAGAGGUCUGACCCAGUUUUGCCGACUGUGCUCGGCAUGCCCUCCACUCCCAGGAGGUCGGACCACUGGACUCAGGCCUGUGAUCUUCCCUGGCCAGGUAUGAUGUCCCUAGUCUUUGGGGGAGGGGCAGAGCAAGGGGGCCCCAGGGGGCCCCUGAACUCCCAGGGCAGCUGCACGGAGAAAACUGGGUGGAAGCCGAUCCUCCUCUUCAAUGCCUCAUUUUUAUGGACUCGGACUUUCCAGGCGGUUAUAAACGCAUUAAAACUAAAAGAAAACUAUCCCCCUUGAACAGGGCAGGAGGGAACGGGGUUAUCCGAGGGGACCCAGGUCUUCCUAUACGCACCCAUCUCUUGGUUGGGUGAUUCCUAGGGACCACUUUGUCCAGUUCCAAGGCAGGCUGGGGAUCCCCCACCCACCGCCCCCGCCGGCCCCUGCUCCCAGUCUAUGGUCUUCAGAUUCGGAGAGUUCAAUUUGGACCUCACUCCCCUUUCUUCUGUAAUUAUUUUUCAAGCUCACACAUCUCCGGAACUUUCAAAAAGUUUUUAUUUUUAUUUUUUUUUUAGGAGACCCAAGAUUUAAUAAAGAAAAUAAGUCUUGGUGUUUCGGUGUAAGGAGGUCAUAGACACAUCCCAUCGACUUGGGAGGGAGCAAUUGUCGGCCCCGUGACCUUUGCUUGCAUCUCAGCCAACUUGCGCGGGGAACUUCCCGAGUUACUCGCUGCGGAGUGCUGUGGUUUUUCCCACUCUGGCUGAAAUGGAUUUUUGGAAACCAUUGGAGCUUUAAAAAAAAAAAAAAAAAAAAACACACAGAAAAAAAAAAAAGUACCCUGGAGACGGUGCCGCCACCGAGGGGCUGGGCCCUAGCUGGAAGAAAGCACCUCUCUGCCCGCUGCAAGCAGAGGUGCCUGACCCCCCGCGCGGAUGCAAGUGCUGCCCCGCUAGCCGUGGGCUGGGGCCACGCGUGGGCUCAAAGCCAGGCUGUUGGGCUCCCGUGCUGGAGCCCGAGGAGGGGGAGGAGGAGCAGGAGGGAGGGGAGGAGGGAGAGGAGGAGGUCUCGGAUAUCAAACCAGCGCUCCUCGCAGACCAGACAGCCCAGCCUCGCACGCCUGGUGACCUCAUUAACUAGCCCGAGAAUUUGCAAGACGAGGACAUUUCCUUCUUCCCUUUCCCUCUACCGCUCUCCUCCUCUGUCAUCCACAUUAUGGUUUUGUGUUCCUCCCUGGAUUUACAAACGGGAGAGACCCGGGGCAGUUCUCAGUAGGACAGCUUGGUGCCUAUCCCUGGCAUGUCCAGAAUGGAAGAGCCGCAGUUCUUGGGGACGAGGCUGUCGGCAGGGUCAGACCCUUUGUAUGCAGGCCUCACCUGUCGGCCAGGACAAAUGAGACCUGA
rnacentral:lncRNA from 12 species